rnacentral:rRNA from 1 species
UACGGGGGGGGCAAGCGUUGUUCGGAAUUACUGGGCGUAAAGGGCUCGUAGGCGGCCAACUAAGUCCGACGUGAAAUCCCUCGGCUUAACCGGGGAACUGCAUCUGAUACUGGAUGGCUUGAGUUCGGGAGAGGGAUGUGGAAUUCCAGGUGUAGCGGUGAAAUGCGUAGAUAUCUGGAGGAACACCGGUGGCGAAGGCGGCAUCCUGGACCGACACUGACGCUGAGGCGCGAAAGCUAGGGGAGCAAACGGG